rnacentral:misc_RNA from 1 species
GAUGAAGAACGUAGUGAAAUGCGAUACUUGGUGUGAAUUGCAGAAUCCCGUGAACCAUCGAGUCUUUGAACGCAAGUUGCGCCCGAAGCCAUUAGGCCGAGGGCACGCCUGCCUGGGCGUCACACGUCGUUGCCCCCCCAUCUACUCCUUCGGGAUUGCGGGGGGCGGAUGAUGGCCUCCCGUGCGCCUCGCCGCGCGGUUGGCAUAAAUGCCAAGUCCUCGGCGACGCACGCCACGACAAUCGGUGGUUGCGAAACCUCGGUUGCCCGUCGUGUGCGGUCGUCGCGCAUCGAGGGCUCGAAAAAAUUGUCGGGCUCCGGCUCGGCUUUCAACGCGACCCUAGGUCAGGCGGGGUUACCCGCUGAAUUUAAGCAUAUCAAUAAGCGGAGGA